AUUGAACGCUGGCGGCAGGCCUAACACAUGCACGUCGAACGAGUGGCGGACGGGUGAGUAAUGUCUGGGAAACUGCCUGAUGGAGGGGGAUCACUACUGGAAACGGUAGCUAAUACCGCAUACCAUCAGAUGUGCCCAGAUGGGAUUAUCUUGUUGGUGGGGUAACGGGUCACCAAGGCGACGAUCCCUAGCUGGUCUGAGAGGAUGACCAGCCACACUGGAAGUGAGACACGGUCCAGACGCCGACGGGAGGCAGCAGUGGGGAAUAUGGCACAAUGGGCGCAAGCAUGAUGCAGCCAUGCCGCGUGUAUGAAGAAGGCCUUCGGGUUGUAAAGUACUUUCAGCGGGGAGGCGUUACCCGCAGAAGAAGCACCGGCUGACUCCGUGCCAGCAGCCGCGGUAAUAC
rnacentral:rRNA from 1 species